rnacentral:rRNA from 1 species
CGGGAAACUGGGGAUAAUCCCUGAUAGUUCUCGGUCGCUGGAAUGCUCCGAGAUCCAAAGCUCCGGCGCUCAAGGAUGGGUCUGCGGCCUAUCAGGUAGUAGUGGGUGUAGCGUACCUACUAGCCUACGACGGGUACGGGUUGUGAGAGCAAGAGCCCGGAGAUGGAUUCUGAGACACGAAUCCAGGCCCUACGGGGUGCAGCAGGCGCGAAAACUUUACAAUGCCGGCAACGGCGAUAAGGGAACCUCGAGGGCCAGGGGACAAAGCUGGCUGUCGUGAUGCCUAAAAAGCAGAGCAUAGCAAGGGCGGGGCAAGACCGGUGCCAGCCGCCGCGGUAACA